GUGCUCACUUCAGCAGAACAUAUGAUAACACUGACAUGAUACAGAGAAGAUAGCACAGGCCCUGUACAAGGGAACAUGCAAAUUUUGAAACAUUCCAUAUUUUC
ensembl:snRNA U6 U6 spliceosomal RNA